rnacentral:rRNA from 1 species
AUGGUUGUUGACUAUCAUGGAUUGAAUGAGGUGACGAUCAAGAACAAGUACCCACUGCCGAUGAUCAAUGAUUUGUUUGACCAGCUGCAAGGAGCUAAGGUGUUUUCCAAGAUCGAUCUGCGAUCAGGGUACCACCAGCUGAAGAUUCGAGAGCAGGAUAUACCCAAGACAGCUUUUACCACAAGGUACGGGCUAUAUGAGUGUACCGUUAUGUCAUUUGGUCUGACUAACGCACCUUCCUAUUUCAUGAACAUGAUGAACAAGGUGUUUAUGGAGUUUUUGGAUAAGUUCGUCGUGGUGUUCAUUGAUGAUAUUCUGGUCAACUCGAAGAAUGAAGAGGAGCAUAAGGAGCAUUUGCGUUUGGUACUUGGUAAACUCAGAGAACAUCAGCUAUAUGCCAAGUUCUGCAAGUGUGAGUUUUGGUUGAAGGAAGUUGGAUUCCUCGGACAUGUUAUAUCCAGAGAAGGAAUAGCCGUAGACCCUACCAAGGUCAUCACUAUCACAAAUUGGGAAGCACCCACGUCAGUUGGAGAGAUCCGAAGUUUUCUUGGACUCGCAGGAUACUACCGGAGGUUCAUCGAGAAUUUCUCGAAGAUUGCAAAGCCCAUGACGGAGUUGUUGAAGAAGGACACCAAGUUCAAAUGGACUGAGGAAUGUGAGGCCAGUUUCCAGGAGUUGAAGACACGCUUGUUUACAGCUCCAGUGUUGAUUCUUCCAGAUCAACCCAAGGACUACCAGGUGUAUUGCGACGCUUCUCGUCGAGGACUUCGAGCAGUGCUUAUGCAGGAUGGAAGAGUUGUUUCAUAUGCCUCACGACAGCUCAAACCCCACAAGUUGAAUUAUGCUACCAAUGAUUUGGAGUUAGCAGCCGUAGUGCAUGCGUUGAAGACAUGGAGACAUUUUCUCAUCGGAAACCAUUUUGAGGUGUACACGGAUCACAAGAGUUUGAAGUAG